ACACCAAUGGUGAAGCGGUUAUCAUGCUUGCCUUCCAUUCAUAACGGUCUACUGGGCUAGCAAGCGGCAGGGGUUCGACUCCCCUUUGGUGUA